rnacentral:rRNA from 1 species
AUGCAGUCGAACGGCAGCACAGGAGAGCUUUCCUCUCUGGGUGGCGAGUGGCGGACGGGUGAGGAAUACAUCGGAAUCUACUCUGUCGUGGGGGAUAACGUAGGGAAACUUACGCUAAUACCGCAUACGACCUACGGGUGAAAGCAAGGGGACCUUCGGGCCUUGCGCGAUUGAAUGAGCCGAUGUCGGAUUAGCUAGUUGGCGGGGUAAAGGCCCACCAAGGCGACGAUCCGUAGCUGGUCUGAGAGGAUGAUCAGCCACACUGGAACUGAGACACGGUCCAGACUCCUACGGGAGGCAGCAGUGGGGAAUAUUGGACAAUGGGCGCAAGCCUGAUCCAGCCAUACCGCGUGGGUGAAGAAGGCCUUCGGGUUGUAAAGCCCUUUUGUUGGGAAAGAAAUCCAGCUGGCUAAUACCCGGUUGGGAUGACGGUACCCAAAGAAUAAGCACCGGCUAACUUCGUGCCAGCAGCCGCGGUAAUACGAAGGGUGCAAGCGUUACUCGGAAUUACUGGGCGUAAAGCGUGCGUAGGUGGUCGUUUAAGUCCGUUGUGAAAGCCCUGGGCUCAACCUGGGAACUGCAGUGGAUACUGGAUGACUAGAAUGUGGUAGAGGGUAGCGGAAUUCCUGGUGUAGCAGUGAAAUGCGUAGAGAUCAGGAGGAACAUCCAUGGCGAAGGCAGCUACCUGGACCAACAUUGACACUGAGGCACGAAAGCGUGGGGAGCAAACAGGAUUAGAUACCCUGGUAGUCCACGCCUUAAACGAUGCGAACUGGAUGUUGGGUGCAAUUUGGCACGCAGUAUCGAAGCUAACGCGUUAAGUUCUCCGCCUGGGGAGUACGGUCGCAAGACUUAUACUGAAAGGAAUUGACGGGGGCCCGCACAAGCGGUGGAGUAUGUGGUUUAAUUAGAUGCAACGAGAAGAACCUUACUGGGCCUUGACAUGUCAAGAACUUUCAAGAGAUGGAUUGGUGCCUUCGGGAACUCGAACACAGGUGAAGCAUUUCGGUUGUCAGCUCGUGUCCUGAGAUGUUCGGUUAAGUCCCGCAACGAGUGCAGCCCUUGUCCUUACAGGCCAUCAAGUAAUGGUGGCAACUCUAAGGAGACUGCCGGAGACAAACCGGAGGAAGGUGGGGAUGACGUCAAGUCAUCAUGUCCUCUACGUCCAGGGCUACACACGUACUACAAUGGUAGGGACAGAGGGCUGCAAGCCGGCGACGGUAAGCCAAUCCCAGAAACCCUAUCUCAGUCCGGAUUGG